GAUUGAUUAGGAUAGUAGGAGGAAUUGUGAACUUCGUAUUGCGGGGCUCCAUCUCUUUCUGAGGAGGCAAUCCCAGUUAGUAGUUGGAAAGAGGUUGGUUGGAAACAGCUGGUAGGAAGCAGUUGGUAGGCUGUUGGUUGGAAGCAGUUGGAACAGUUAGAAUCAGUUGGUUGGAAGCAGUUGGAAACAGAAACGGUUGGAAGCAGUUGGUUAUUAGUGAGAUGUCAGACUUCAUCUUUCUCUUUUCUGCUGCUCAGCAUCUACAUGACACCUCUGAUUCAAGGCAAGGGUAAACAUUCCUUGCAUGUGAAGGAAUCAGGACCUUGAGAACAUCCAAUUCAAGAUUUUUUUCAGUCUGUGUUGG